GCUAAACGCGAAGAACCUUACCAGGCCUUGACAUGGUUAGUAUGAUUUCCAGAAAUGGAUUUCUUCAGUUUGGCUGGCUAACACACAGGUGCUGCAUGGCUGUCGUCAGCUCGUGUCGUGAGAUGUUGGGUUAAGUCCCGCAACGAGCGCAACCCUUGUCCUUAGUUGCCAGCGAGUAAUGUCGGGAACUCUAAGGAGACUGCCGGUGACAAACCGGAGGAAGGUGGGGAUGACGUCAAGUCCUCAUGGCCCUUACGGCCAGGGCUACACACGUACUACAAUGGUCGGUACAGAGGGUUGCCAAACCGCAAGGUGGAGCCAAUCCCAGAAAGCCGAUCCCAGUCCGGAUCGGAGUCUGCAACUCGACUCCGUGAAGUCGGAAUCGCUAGUAAUCGCGGAUCAGCUAUGCCGCGGUGAAUACGUUCCCGGGUCUUGUACACACCG
rnacentral:rRNA from 1 species